CCGGUAAACGGCGGCCGUAACUAUAACGGUCCUAAGGUAGCGAAAUUCCUUGUCGGGUAAGUUCCGACCUGCACGAAUGGCGUAAUGAUGGCCAGGCUGUCUCCACCCGAGACUCAGUGAAAUUGAACUCGCUGUGAAGAUGCAGUGUACCCGCGGCAAGACGGAAAGACCCCGUGAACCUUUACUAUAGCUUGACACUGAACAUUGAGCCUUGAUGUGUAGGAUAGGUGGGAGGCUUUGAAGUGUGGACGCCAGUCUGCAUGGAGCCGACCUUGAAAUACCACCCUUUAAUGUUUGAUGUUCUAACGUUGGCCCCUGAUCGGGGUUGCGGACAGUGUCUGGUGGGUAGUUUGACUGGGGCGGUCUCCUCCUAAAGAGUAACGGAGGAGCACGAAGGUUGGCUAAUCCUGGUCGGACAUCAGGAGGUUAGUGCAAUGGCAUAAGCCAGCUUGACUGCGAGCGUGACGGCGCGAGCAGGUGCGAAAGCAGGUCAUAGUGAUCCGGUGGUUCUGAAUGGAAGGGCCAUCGCUCAACGGAUAAAAGGUACUCCGGGGAUAACAGGCUGAUACCGCCCAAGAGUUCAUAUCGACGGCGGUGUUUGGCACCUCGAUGUCGGCUCAUCACAUCCUGGGGCUGAAGUAGGUCCCAAGGGUAUGGCUGUUCGCCAUUUAAAGUGGUACGCGAGCUGGGUUUAGAACGUCGUGAGACAGUUCGGUCCCUAUCUGCCGUGGGCGCUGGAGAACUGAGGGGGGCUGCUCCUAGUACGAGAGGACCGGAGUGGACGCAUCACUGGUGUUCGGGUUGUCAUGCCAAUGGCACUGCCCGGUAGCUAAAUGCGGAAGAGAUAAGUGCUGAAAGCAUCUAAGCACGAAACUUGCCCCGAGAUGAGUUCUCCCUGAGACUUUAAGUCUCCUGAAGGAACGUUGAAGACGACGACGUUGAUAGGCCGGGUGUGUAAGCGCAGCGAUGCGUUGAGCUAACCGGUACUAAUGAACCGUGAGG
rnacentral:rRNA from 1 species